AUUCUAGGGUAUACAUCAGCCAAACUUUACGGUGGAUGGCUCUGCUGAAAUGAUCAGGUCUUGUGGCAGAUGUAAGGCCGGACUCAAGAUAGUGACCGUUGAUCAUCCUGGGAUUACAAAGACAUUGCUGUAGUUGGCGGUUAUCUCUGGAGGGGGCCAGCUAUUGUGAAUAUUGGCAUCUGAAAAGGCCGCCUGGACUGGUCACUGGACUCUGCUCAUUGGACCACUCCUCUUCUCGAUCAGG